rnacentral:rRNA from 1 species
AAUGAACGCUGGCGGCAUGCCUAACACAUGCAAGUCGAACGAAGGCUUCGGCCUUAGUGGCGCACGGGUGCGUAACGCGUGGGAAUCUGCCCUUGGGUUCGGAAUAACAGUUAGAAAUGACUGCUAAUACCGGAUGAUGUCGUAAGACAAAAGAUUUAUCGCCCAAGGAUGAGCCCGCGUAGGAUUAGCUAGUUGGUGGGGUAAAGGCCUACCAAGGCGACGAUCCUUAGCUGGUCUGAGAGGAUGAUCAGCCACACUGGGACUGAGACACGGCCCAGACUCCUACGGGAGGCAGCAGUGGGGAAUAUUGGACAAUGGGCGAAAGCCUGAUCCAGCAAUGCCGCGUGAGUGAUGAAGGCCUUAGGGUUGUAAAGCUCUUUUACCCGGGAUGAUAAUGACAGUACCGAGAGAAUAAGCUCCGGCUAACUUCGUG